rnacentral:misc_RNA from 1 species
GAGAACUUGCCCUUCGGGGUAGAUCUCCCACCCUUUGUUUACAAUACCAUUGUUGCUUUGGCAGGCCCGUCUCCGGACCACCGGCUCCGGCUGGUCAGUGCCUGCCAGAGAACCCAAAACUCUUUAUAAUUUAUUGUCUGAGUACUAUAUAAUAGUUAAAACUUUCAACAACGGAUCUCUUGGUUCU